rnacentral:rRNA from 1 species
ACGGGUGAGUAACACGUGGGAACGUACCUUUCGGUUCGGAAUAAUUCAGGGAAACUUGGACUAAUACCGGAUACGCCCUUCGGGGGAAAGAUUUAUCGCCGAUAGAUCGGCCCGCGUCUGAUUAGCUAGUUGGUGAGGUAAUGGCUCACCAAGGCGACGAUCAGUAGCUGGUCUGAGAGGAUGAUCAGCCACAUUGGGACUGAGACACGGCCCAAACUCCUACGGGAGGCAGCAGUGGGGAAUAUUGGACAAUGGGCGCAAGCCUGAUCCAGCCAUGCCGCGUGAGUGAUGAAGGCCUUAGGGUUGUAAAGCUCUUUUGUCCGGGAAGAUAAUGACUGUACCGGAAGAAUAAGCCCCGGCUAACUUCGCGCCAGCAGCCGCGGUAAUACGAAGGGGGCUAGCGUUGCUCGGAAUCACUGGGCGUAAAGGGCGCGUAGGCGGACUCUUAAGUCGGGGGUGAAAGCCCAGGGCUCAACCCUGGAAUUGCCUUCGAUACUGGGAGUCUUGAGUUCGGAAGAGGUUGGUGGAACUGCGAGUGUAGAGGUGAAAUUCGUAGA